UACGGGGGGAGCAAGCGUUGUUCGGAUUUACUGGGCGUAAAGGGCGCGUAGGCGGCCAGCACAAGUCAGUUGUGAAAUCUCCGAGCUUAACUCGGAAAGGUCAACUGAUACUGUGCGGCUAGAGUGCGGAAGGGGCAACUGGAAUUCUUGGUGUAGCGGUGAAAUGCGUAGAUAUCAAGAGGAACACCUGCGGCGAAGGCGGGUUGCUGGGCCGACACUGACGUGAGGCGCGGAAAGCCAGGGGAGCGAACGGG
rnacentral:rRNA from 1 species